UGGGGAAUAUUGGACAAUGGGCGCAAGCCUGAUCCAGCGAUGCCGCGUGUGUGAAGAAGGCCUGCGGGUUGUAAAGCACUUUUAGCGAGGACGAGGUUUUAGGGGGUUAAUAGGUCUCUAAGAUGACGGUACUCGCAGAAAAAGCACCGGCUAACUCUGUGCCAGCAGCCGCGGUAAUACAGAGGGUGCAAGCGUUAAUCGGAAUUACUGGGCGUAAAGCGCGCGUAGGUGGUUAGUUAAGUUGGAUGUGAAAUCCCCGGGCUCAACCUGGGAACUGCAUUCAAAACUGACUGACUAGAGUAUGGUAGAGGGUGGUGGAAUUUCCUGUGUAGCGGUGAAAUGCGUAGAUAUAGGAAGGAACACCAGUGGCGAAGGCGACCACCUGGACUGAUACUGACACUGAGGUGCGAAAGCGUGGGGAGCAAACAGGAUUAGAUACCCAGGUAGUCCCUGAGCGGGCUGGCAAGGCGCAU
rnacentral:rRNA from 1 species